AUGAUGCUUUUUUCAACCAUUUAGCACACCUUUAGGAUGACCUGAUGUUCCAACAAUUCUUCUAGCUCCUUCUGCUCCUUUAGUAAUUGCUUUUGUUUAGAAACCAA